AGAGUUUGAUCCUGGCUCAGAAUCAACACUGGCGGCGUGCCUCAGACAUGCAAGUCGAACGCGAAAGUCUCCUUCGGGGGGCAAGUAGAGUGGCGCACGGGUGAGUAAUACGUAGGUAAUCUACCUUUGGAUGGGGAAUAACAAUCGGAAACGGUUGCUAAUACCGCAUAAUGCAGCGGCACCUAAUGGUGACAGUUGUUAAAGCGGGGGAUCGAAAGACCUCGCGUCUGAAGAGGAGCCUGCGGCGGAUUAGCUAGUUGGUAAGGUAACGGCUUACCAAGGCUACGAUCCGUAGCCGGCCUGAGAGGGCGGUCGGCCACACUGACACUGACAUACGGGUCAGACUCCUACGGGAGGCAGCAGUCGGGAAUUUUGGGCAAUGGGCGAAAGCCUGACCCAGCAACGCCGCGUGAAGGAUGAAAUCCCUCGGGAUGUAAACUUCGCAAGAACGGGAAGAAUAAGCGAGAGUUAAUAUCUUUCGUGAUGACGGUACCGUUUGUAAGCUCCGGCUAACUCCGUGCCAGCAGCCGCGGUAAUACGGGGGGAGCAAGCGUUGUUCGGAUUUACUGGGCGUAAAGGGCGCGUAGGCGGUCAGCACAAGUCAGUUGUGAAAUCUCCGAGCUUAACUCGGAAAGGUCAACUGAAACUGUGCGACUAGAGUGCGGAAGGGGCAACUGGAAUUCUUGGUGUAGCGGUGAAAUGCG
rnacentral:rRNA from 1 species